AGACGAACCUAAUAUUACAU
rnacentral:snRNA from 1 species